rnacentral:rRNA from 1 species
CAGUCGAGCGGUAGAGAGGUGCUUGCACCUCUUGAGAGCGGCGGACGGGUGAGUAAAGCCUAGGAAUCUGCCUGGUAGUGGGGGAUAACGCUCGGAAACGGACGCUAAUACCGCAUACGUCCUACGGGAGAAAGCAGGGGACCUUCGGGCCUUGCGCUAUCAGAUGAGCCUAGGUCGGAUUAGCUAGUUGGUGAGGUAAUGGCUCACCAAGGCGACGAUCCGUAACUGGUCUGAGAGGAUGAUCAGUCACACUGGAACUGAGACACGGUCCAGACUCCUACGGGAGGCAGCAGUGGGGAAUAUUGGACAAUGGGCGAAAGCCUGAUCCAGCCAUGCCGCGUGUGUGAAGAAGGUCUUCGGAUUGUAAAGCACUUUAAGUUGGGAGGAAGGGCAUUAACCUAAUACGUUAGUGUUUUGACGUUACCGACAGAAUAAGCACCGGCUAACUCUGUGCCAGCAGCCGCGGUAAUACAGAGGGUGCAAGCGUUAAUCGGAAUUACUGGGCGUAAAGCGCGCGUAGGUGGUUCGUUAAGUUGGAUGUGAAAUCCCCGGGCUCAACCUGGGAACUGCAUUCAAAACUGUCGAGCUAGAGUAUGGUAGAGGGUGGUGGAAUUUCCUGUGUAGCGGUGAAAUGCGUAGAUAUAGGAAGGAACACCAGUGGCGAAGGCGACCACCUGGACUGAUACUGACACUGA